AUGCAUGAGACGAACACGUAUGAAUGCGAUCUGCCACCGGAUCCAGAGCUUGACUCCAGACUCCUGCAACACGAGUUCGACUCCGAGUUUUGCACCAUCGAGAAGUACCAAAAGCUGAGUUGUGUGCACGGGCACACUCCCGCUCGACGUGUAUGCACGGAGGGAUUCGAUAUUGGCAGGCAGUUUCUCAGUUGCCCCUUAGAGGGAUAUGAGGCUUGUGCCUUUGUUAACUGGCUGCAUGAAGAAUGGCAUGGCAGGGCUCGGAGUGUUAUCACCAAGAUCACAGAAGAUAACGUAAAGUUCCUCUUCUCUGCAUACCCCGCUUAA
rnacentral:rRNA from 1 species